rnacentral:lncRNA from 1 species
AGCACCAUAAACAGAGGGGCGAUCAUUCUUAAAAAAGGGCAAGUGAAUGUUUUGUUUUACUAUAUAAUUUUGAUAUUUUUCAUUUGAAAGUUGAGAGAAAUAACGUUGGAAGGUGUUACCAUCACAGCGACUAAGCAGUAGAUUAAGGUUGUUGUUUUCAAGGUUGUUGUGAUAAUUAUUGGAAAUGAAAUGAGGAGUUUGAAAAGAAGAACACCAAUACUUACAAACACAGUUGAAGCGAGUAAGGGAUUUAACUGGCAGCUUUGACAGAAUUUCCAUAACCAAAGCUUCUGGCAAUUCAAACCUUGGCCUCUGCAUCUUGCUAUUUUGAUUUUCUUUGUAAUUGGGUAAGAGGAAUGAAUAAAAUGGGAGUUGGUAGGUGUCAUCUAUGGUCCAAACCUUAACCAGGAAGCAAAGAAGCAUAAAAGGUAAGCAUUUGAUAGGUUAUAAUAAUUAUAUGGAAUUUAGGAAAAUUUACUUAUUUGCAUUUGUAUCCAUGUGAGGAAGGAUUAAGAUCAAAUAUAAUAUAAUACGUACUUUUUGAAUUUAAUCCCCAAUUUUUAAAAGAAUAAAUUUAAAGGAUAUCACAUUUAUUUACUUUUUGUAUAUUUGAAAUUUAAUACUUAAUUUUUAUUUUAAAGAAUUCAAUCUCUCUAUUUUUUAAAAGCCAAAAACAGUGAUGUAGUUUUUUUUUUCACACGGCAAUCAAAAAAAAAAAUUUAAAGGUAGUUUUUUUUUCUCGUUUCUGCUCUUUUUCUUUUUUUCGUCUGUUCUAUUUUACUUGCGUUUUUUUUUUUGAGUUUUUUCUUUUCUUCUUUCGACAUACAUAUAUCUACAUUUUUUUAAAAAAAAGAACAGUUUAUAUAUAUACAUACACAAAAAAAUAAAAAUAAAAAAACUCACCUUUGAACUUUCCGGACUCGGCUACGUCGGCCGGUGCGGCGGAGACAAGGCGGCCCUUUGGCCGGAAUCUGGAUUUCAUCCAGAGAAAAGAGACCCCCUUUUCCCUUUUUUUGGUUUCUUUACAGACUGCCGGGAAUGAUUUCUUUUCCUCAAAAGUUGUCUUUUAUAGCCCCCCCCCCAACACCCCAGCAAAACGAUGUCGUUUUGGUUGGCGUACUUGAGCAAGAAACGACGUCGUUUUGGCCUUAGGAUCCGCUUGUGACCCGACCCGCAAAGAGGAUCCGCGUGUCACCAUUUAGGGGGAUAUCUUCACAAUUGGUGCCUCCACUUUUGUCUCGCUUUCAAUGUAGUUUUUUCAUAUAUUUUUAAUUUUGGCUACAUAAUUUUUCGUCUGUUUUAAUUUGGUCCCCAGACCAUGCACACGCGCCUCACUAGAACGAUGCCGUUUGGUCAGUUAGGGAGUAUUUCCGUUUUUGCUCCUCUUCCUUUCACGCGUGUUGUGAUUUAGUCCUUUUUGUGCUUUUUAUUGUUAAUUUCGACCCUAAAACCUUGUUUAUUUUCAAUUUAAUCCUUAAUCUGCUAUUUUAGUUAUUUUUCCUGUUAAAUUAAUUAUUUUAACAUUAUUAAAACUAUUAUAUUGCAUAAUUAUUAUUUAUUAUUAAUAUUAUUAUCCUUAUCUCGUUUGUACCUUUUUAUUCUAAAAUUUUGUUAUAUAUAUAUAUACAUAUCCGCAUAUGCUUUUCUAAUAUAUAUAUGUAUAUUUUUAAGGUUAUUAUAAAUAUACUUUUAUAUUUCAUUUUUUAUACUUAUAUCUAUAUCCACGUAUUUUAAUUUAUAUACAUAUAGAUUUUAUAUAUACUUAUUAUAAUUUUUUUAUUGUCAUAAAUACAUACACAUGUACACAUACUUUUAUAUGUUCUUCUAUAUUCCAUAAUUCUUAUAUACAUCCAUAUACAUAUGUAUAUUUUAAUCUACAUACAUAUAUGUAUAUAUACACAUACGACAUAUAUUUCUAUUUUAUAAUUUUAAAAUAAAUAUAUAUAUAUCUAUAUAUUCUUCUUAUUUUUAUAUACACAUGCAUAUAUUUUAUAUUUCCUUUAUUGUUUCGUUGUUUCGCGUAAUGUCAACCUUUUUAUGCCUAUUUUAUUUUAAAAGCAUUUUAAUUCGACUCUUUUAUUUACUAUUUAUCUUACAUUAAUUAAUUUGUCUCUGUAUUUAUUUUGCUACGUACAAAAUCGUGCUACAUUUUACCCGAUUCAUUAAAAAUGAUGUUUUAAACAAGCAAUAUUCAUAUUUUGAAAUUCGAAAAGUCGUUCCCUAACUUACGGGGUUUCGACUUUCUAAAAAAAAUCCAAAUACCGAACAUUUUUAAGCAUAAAUUUUAAAUAAUCUCAAGAAUUACUAAAAGAUCGUGUUCUAACUUAGGGAAUAUGAUUUUUUUCUAAAACCGAUAUAGUCAAACAUCUUUUAAAAUAAAUUUUUCGGCGUUUAUUUGUGCAUCAAGAAUUUAAGACAUUGUGUCCUAAUUCACGGGACGCGAUUCAUUUUCUCGAUUAACGUAAAAUAUGUCCAUUUGUCAACUUUUUAAUAUUUUAACAAGGGAUCGUAUUUUAAAUCUCUUUAAAGUUUUCAAUUUUUGACGAGACACUAAUUAAUCAACUAAGUACCAAUUUUGGGCGCGGGGGUGCUAAUUAGAGGUGAUCAUGGGUUGGGCAGUCCGGCCCGGCCCGAUGGCCCACCCAAAAUAUGAGAGGGUUUGGGUAAAAAUAUAGGCCCGAAAUAUGGGUUUGGGCAAAAAAUGAGGCCCGUUGGCAAAACUUUUUUGGUCCAGGCCUGGCCCGAAUAUAUAAUAAAUAUAUAUUUUUAUUUUUAAAAUACAUUUUCCAUUUCCCCAUUUCCCCAUUUCCCAUUAGACAUUUAGUAUUUAUAUAAUAAAUAUAUAUUUUUUAUUUUUUAAUUUUAAAGUAUUUUUAAAAUACUUCUUUUAUUUUUUAUUUUUAAGAUACAAUUUUGUUGUUUAUUAAAAAAAGGGUCGGGCUCGGGCUUAGGAUUUUUUCUCGGGCCAGGCUUGGACAAAAUUUCAGGCCCAUAUUUUGGGCUAGGCCGGGCCCAGGCCUAGGACGCGGGCCAAAAAAAAAUUUAGGCCUGGCCCAGCCCAUGAUCACCUUUAGUGCUAAUCCUUCCUUGUACGUAACCGACGCCCGAACUCGUGCUUAUGUGGCACGGCACAUAGGCUACUUUGUUGACCUAUGGUUUGACCGACGAUCAACUCACAUUUUCUGUUAAAAUUGGGCUAAUUUAUUAAAAAAUUGUACCGUUAACGGUGUCAAUCCAAAAAAAAAAAGGUUAAUGGCUCAAACCCAAAAACUCAAAAAAUUGAGUGUUUUUUCGACAAUUAUGCGAAAUUCUUUGUUAAAUUUGUUGGUUUGAUAUUCUUUCAAAAGUACAUUAUAAUGCCUUUUUUUUUAACCCAAACCCAAACUUUUGAAAUCAAAUACUAUUUUGAGAGGGAAAAUAUUUGAUUUUUUUUUUUGUUCAAUUGCUUGAAUCUGGUUGGAUAGUUUCUAUUUUCGUUUUAUUAAAUUUCCUUUUUCUCUGUUUGAAGGCGACUUUAAAGAAAAGAGUAACAUGCGAAGGAAUUGCAUUGGACUUUGCAAAGAUCAUAAAACACACAUUAAAAAUAUGUAUUAUUAGUUCUGUUGGACUUAAAGAUUUUGGGUUGUAACACUAGUAGAAAUUAUAUAAAGAAAGAUAUUGAAUGUUAUGGGAUUGGGUUUGGGUUAUUUUAAAUCUAUAUUCAGAUUAAUGUUAUUUUAAAAUCGAAUAAUUUUGAGUUUAAAUCAUUCAAAGUUGUUGAUCGGAUUUUAUAAAGAUAAAAAAACAUAUUGAAAAUAUGUAAUAUUAAUUGGAUUAUUUUAAACUAUGACAUAAAUACUUGAGUCUCAAAAUAAACACUAGCUCAAUAAAACGCAUAUGAUAAUUUAGAGUACUGUAAUAAAAUACAUAUUGAUAAUUCAGAUAUUACAUUAAACAUUUUUAAACAUACAUGAGACAAUUGUGGUAAAGCUGGCUAUGGUAAUUUUAUGGUAUCGGAUCCAUUACUGCAUAGGCCGUAAAAUAAGUUGGAACAAUUUUGGGGAGUUCCAAAGGUAUGGGAUGGCCCCGGUCUUCCAUAACAAAUAAACAUCUCCCCGAGUAGUAGAACUCUAGUUCUUCUGUGUUUACUGCAUGAAAUUUGUGGAGAUGCUCCUAUAAGUCGGAAAACUAUGUCCGCAACUUGUCGGACCGUAUAGGUGGAUCUAGGUGUGAGUCCCAUAGCUAAAUCCCAAAAUUCAUUAAAACAAAUAAGAGACAAUAAAGUAUAUUAAACACAAAUCUGAAUGUGAAGAAAAAAUAAAAACAAUUUAUUCGAUAUACCCGGAUCUAAAUUUGUCCUAAGUUGUAUGGCCGAUUGGAAGUAUGCCAGAGGAUAUGGUGCAAAGUCGGAACAUGUGCCAUGUUUUGUCCAUUCGUUGUGCAAAAAGCUAAUGUCUAACUUUCCCAAUAUCAAGUUUGGCCAUAGUCGGGGCAAGUCUACCCAAAGAACUGGAUCACUUUUCAGCAAACUCUUUGAAAUUAAAAACAAAAAUCUGGUUAGAUGACAGAUAAUUUACUUAAUAGUUUUAGGCGAAGAAUGUACGUAUGCGUACUUCGAGUUUCUUCUUAUCUAGAUUAGGAUUCGGAUUGUUGCAAAGAUUACUUGGACCAUACUGGGUCACCGGCUUGUCAUUAGCAUCUUGUGCCCAAAUUCCAUGUAUUGUAAAUUCUGUUGGGAUAGGGGUUUUACAUCUCGAAGUAGAGCUGCAAACUGAUGGAGGCCAUUGAAGUGCCAGCUUGUAGAAGUGCGGAAUUGCUGGUUGCUGAGGUACUGCAAAUGCUACCCAUAAUGAAAAAUUGAUACAAUGCAUUUUUACAAAUUUACAAAUAAAAAGAGAACUACUCCAUAUAUAAAUAUUACAUGCAUGGAUGAUUGGGCUGAGAUUGGAUGAUUGUGCUUUGCGAGUAGCUGGUUUAUGAUCUCCUUUAUAAUCUUGGCGCACAUAUUUCACAAAAUUUUCAAAGUCCUGCAACCAUGAAAUAAAUAUUGAGGUUACUUAUCACAAAGUGUUACUUCACAAUCACACCAAGAGAGAAAUAAACAAACUCACUUGUCUGAGUGGCUGAUUAUUCACCACCACCCAUGGCACAUCUUCUUGAGGUGGCUUCAGAUGUGCAGUCUCGUUAGCAUAUUGCAGCAGAAGCUGCAUUUCAUUAAUUUGGAAAAUCAAUGUUAGAAAAAGCUAAGAAGUGUUAAUUAAAUACUAAGACAUGCAGCCAACCUUAUAUCCAAAUCCAGUAGUAUAGCAUUUGUUGAUUAUCUCCUCAUUCAAUCUCAGCUUUUCACUGCAAUUUUUCCACAGUGCUUCAACGGGCCCCCCCUUUAAGCUUUGUUGCUCUGUGCAGCGAAUGAAUUCCAAGUGCUCUUUCUGCACCACAGUAGAGUAAUUAAACACGAGUUGGAGAUGAGUACAAAUACUUAUGGCUCAUAGCAGUUACUGCAUCAGGCCAUAAAUGGAUGACACAACUAUGUAUAGUGUUUAAGUGACGUUCUUCUUCUCCAUGUUGCACAUUAUCGCAAAAACUAUAAUUAGUUAUAACACCAAAAAGAACUAGAACUUCAUUAGUUAAUAAUGAUAAUACAUUAAAAUGAAGAACGGAGUAGUAAACCUGGCAAUGGAUUUCAGCAUUGCCCCAAGGGACCAAUCUUAGAUUGGUAAUGGUAUGGAGGUCAGUGCGGAAGACCUUGACUAGGCUAUUGGAGAUAAGCGAGAAUAUUGCAAGAGCAGCCAGAAUAUAGAAGAUUAAUGGUUGAAGAUAAGCCAUUGUUUCAGUGGUAGCUUUUGCACAAUGCUAGACCUCCAUUGUGCAAGGCUUCUUAUAGUUGAGAAUUGGGAUGCUGAGUAUUGCUUUCUGUCACGUUCAGAAACCAUGAGACAAAUUUACAAAGUUAUCAUCUUUAAAAAAACAAUUAUACACCACUUUAAAAAAAAAUUAUUUACAUGAAAGCUUGUUUAUCUAUUUAUGUAUGAAUAUUGUCUAAACAUGAAAGGAGAAAUCUUAUUAGAUAAUAGAGUUUUAUAAUAACUUAUAAUUUAAAUUAAGUUAUUAACGUAUUUACUGAAUCAUUGGCCUUCUAAAAUGCUUUUAGAUAUCAAAUCCUCUUCGACUUGCAAUUUUUUUCUGCAGAAAACAAUAUCAACAUCUAAGCAAUCUUAUAGAUAUCUAAGCAACAAAAACCAAACAUAAACUGAACAAUUCUCCAAAUACAGAAACCAGGAAAUAGUUAACAUCUCAAACAUAUAACCCAAACAAUUAUAGCAAUAUUAAGAAGCUCACAACAAAAAAUUCCUAUUACAUCUUACACAUAUAUGUUCCAGCUCCACAUCCCUCUUCAUAUUCAGUAUCCAUUUCAUGCCUUCUUCAUAUUUAGUAUUCAUUUGAUGCAUCUCUCGCUGGUUGACGUAUUACAUGUUUCUCAAUAUUCUCUUGUAUUCCAUUGAUACGAACCAGGCUCUCUAAAUAAGCAUGAAGGGAGAUGGUGAACCGAAAAUGAUCUAGGUAAGUAUUAAUCUCAAGCUCCUUAAGCUCUUGGGUGGAGGCGUCAAAUAGGAGUACUUCAUCAUUUGUGUCUGUAAGAAACAAGUCACCAUUUUUUCCAAAUCCCAAUGGGUGUACAACUCCAGAAAUGGAUUGUUUAGUCCACACUCCUUCACUUGUAACCCAUAAAUCAAAAGACGUGUCAAUUCUUUCCGUUGGGUAAACAAUAGCACCAAGUGAUCCAUUAAACACCAACAGAUUAACAUAGUAUUCUGGGAAAGACCCAACGAAUUCUGGGAUAGGUAAAAUUGAGAACUUCUCAUUCCCCAUGUCAAAUGAAAGAAUUAGUCCUCUAAAAUCAAGAUAUGCCCGUCUCUGUUUUCAUAUAGCAAAUUCCGUCUACAUAAUUAUUUCCCAAAGUUGUUCCAGUUGGUUUAUAAUCAGGACAUGGAAUUUCCUUCCAGGAAUUACUUCUAAGAGAAUACAACUCAACUUGGUACAUAAAAUGAGAAUGUGGAUAUUGUUCUUCACUAUUAACAAAAGUAAGAGUAACAAAUCGUAUGACUUUGUAGUCAUCAGUUUUAGAAUCAAACCCAAAAGAAGCGUGGUUAAAUUCAACGUGAUCUAAAGUAAGGUAGGUUUCUUCGAAUGGGGAAAAAUAUGGAGGGCGUUGGAUUGAAGAUGGUGGAAGGAUUUUAAACUCUCUGGUUGAUGGGUUCCAAAUGGCAGCCUUAUCCUUUGAAGGAUCAAGUAAACACAACAAUCCAUGACAAGCACCAUAAACAGAGGGGCGAUCAUUCUUAAAAAAGGGCAAGUGAAUGUUUUGUUUUACUAUAUAAUUUUGAUAUUUUUCAUUUGAAAGUUGAGAGAAAUAACGUUGGAAGGUGUUACCAUCACAGCGACUAAGCAGUAGAUUAAGGUUGUUGUUUUCAAGGUUGUUGUGAUAAUUAUUGGAAAUGAAAUGAGGAGUUUGAAAAGAAGAACACCAAUACUUACAAACACAGUUGAAGCGAGUAAGGGAUUUAACUGGAAGCUUUGACAGAAUUCCCAUAACCAAAGCUUCUGGCAAUUCAAAUCUUGGCCUCUGCAUCUUGCUAUUUUGAUUUUCUUUGUAAUUGGGUAAGAGGAAUGAAUAAGCAAGCAAAAUGGGAGUUGGUAUGGUCCAAACCUUAACCAGGAAGCAAAGAAGCAUAAAAGGUAAGCAUUUGAUAGGUUAUAAAAAUUAUAUGGAAUUUAGGAAAAUUUACUUAUUUGCAUUUGUAUCCAUGUGAGGAAGGAUUAAGAUCAAAUAUAAUAUAAUACAUACUUUUUGAAUUUAAUCCCCAAUUUUUAAAAGAUUAAAUUUAAAGGAUAUCAC